GACAGCGUGUCCGAAUGGUUAAGGAGAUGGACUCGAAAUCCUGUAGGCUAUGCCUGUGCAGGUUCGAAUUCUGCUGCUGUCG
rfam:Perkinsus marinus ATCC 50983 gcontig_1104296761898, whole genome shotgun sequence.